UUCCGGUUGAUCCUGCCGGAGGCCACUGCUAUUGGGGUUCGGCUAAGCCAUGCGAGUGGUGGGCGCGGUCGCAGGAUCGUGGCCCCGCGUACGGCUCAGUAACACGUAGUUAACCUACCCUCGAGUCUGGGACAACCUCGGGAAACUGAGGACAAUCCCGGAUGAGCGAGGGAUGCUGGAAUGCUUCCUCGCCUAAAGCUCCGGCGCUCGAGGAUGGGACUGCGGCCUAUCAGGUAGUUGGUGGUGUGACGGACCACCAAGCCUACGACGGGUACGGGCCGUGAGAGCGGAAGCCCGGAGAUGGGCACUGAGACAAGGGCCCAGGCCCUACGGGGCGCAGCAGUCGCGAGAACUCCGCAAUACACGAAAGUGUGACGGGGCUAUCCCGAGUGCCAUCCGCUGAGGAUGGCUUUUCCCCAGUGUAUAAAGCUGGGGGAAUAAGGAGAGGGCAAGCCUGGUGUCAGCCGCCGCGGUAAUACCAGCUCUCCGAGUGGUGGGGAUGUUUAUUGGGCCUAAAGCAUUCGUAGCCUGCUUGGCAAGUCCUCCGUUAAAUCCAACGAUUCAAUCGUUGGGCUGCGGGGGAUACUGUCCAGCUAGGGGGCGGGAGAGGCCGACGGUAUCCCCGGGGUAGGGGUGAAAUCCUAUAAUCCCGGGAGGACCACCAGUGGCGAAGGCUGUCGGCUAGAACGCGCUCGACGGUGAGGGAUGAAAGCUGGGGGAGCGAACCGGAUUAGAUACCCGGGUAGUCCCAGCUGUAAACGAUGCAGGCUAGGUGUUGGCGCGGCUACGUGCCGCUCCAGUGCCGCAGGAAAGCCGUUAAGCCUGCCGCCUGGGAAGUACGGGCCGCAAGGCUGAAACUUAAAGGAAUUGGCGGGGGAGCACCACAAGGUGUGAAGCUUGCGUUUAAUUUGGAGUCAACGCCGGA
rnacentral:rRNA from 1 species